rnacentral:rRNA from 1 species
UACGAAGGGUGCAAACGUUGCUCGGAAUUAUUGGGCGUAAAGCGCACGUAGGCGGCAUUGCAAGUCGGAUGUGAAAUCCCUCGGCUUAACCAAGGAAGUGCAUCCGAAACUGCAGUGCUUGAGUACUUAAGAGGAUCGCGGAAUUCCCGGUGUAGAGGUGAAAUUCGUAGAUAUUAGGAAGAACACCAGUGGCGAAGGCGGCUCACUGGCCCGGUACUGACGCUGAGGCGCGAAAGCGUGGGGAGCAAACAGG